AGAAGAGCUCUUUCCUGUCUGUCUCAAUACCCUCCUUAUCCCCCGCGGUGACGGAAUCCCGGGCCUGUUUCCCUCUGUUUAAUGCCGUUGCCGGGACCACGGUGGCCACGCGCCAGGCGCAGGGAGUUCCGCGGCGGUGGCGCUCGGAGGCGGCCAGCUGGGCUGUGCGCCGGGCCCCGCAGCCACCAGCCUUGCUCCGCCGGCUCCCAGCCGCGUCCCUGCGCCUCUUUUCCUCUUCCUCGGUCUCCUCUCGAGAUUCCCAAGCAGGAUGCUUUGCUGCUGUAGCCAUCCCAUGUCCCAGCUCCUGUCAUCAGGCCAGUUCUUCAUCUUUACUAGGACACUUCUAGCCACAGUGCUGCACAAGACUUCCUCUGACCCCAGAGACCCAGCAGCAAUGCCAGGGGGUGAUAAGACCUACAGUAACUGCUACUCUGCUUGGAUACCAAUUAUCCAGCCUUAAGGUAUCACUCAACGGGUCACAAAGCUCAAAGAAGAGGCAAAGAUAAUCACUUUUCAAAUGUAAUUCUGAAACCAACAACUAGAGAGAAGAUUGGGGAUGCACAGACAAUGACUAGUCAAUGUCUCCAUGGAUGUCUAGUUUUUGGAAUGCUACAUUCUAUAGCACAUGGACAGAAAGCUGGUCCUCUGGUGGGGAAACAAUGCCAAUCAAGUAGAGACACACCAAGCGAGCAUACUUCAUACAGACAUGAGCAUGAGUGCUUCUCAGCCAUUUGGGAAACUUGA